rnacentral:tRNA from 1 species
CCGUCAGCUCGGCAGUGGACAUGCCCUGCCGCUCUUUCAGGUCGGCGCCGGCGCAGAAGACCGGUCCCUCGCCGCGGAUCAGCACCACGUGGACGGAC